CAUAUAGUAGCUUAAAAUUAAAGCAUUAAACUUUUAAUUUAAAUAUAAGGAUUCUUCUUCUAUGUGG
rnacentral:tRNA from 1 species